AAAUUGAAGAGUUUGAUCAUGGCUCAGAUUGAACGCUGGCGGCAGGCCUAACACAUGCAAGUCGAACGGUAACAGGAAUCAGCUUGCUGAUUCGCUGACGAGUGGCGGACGGGUGAGUAAUGUCUGGGAAACUGCCUGAUGGAGGGGGAUAACUACUGGAAACGGUAGCUAAUACCGCAUAACGUCGCAAGACCAAAGAGGGGGACCUUCGGGCCUCUUGCCAUCGGAUGUGCCCAGAUGGGAUUAGCUAGUAGGUGGGGUAACGGCUCACCUAGGCGACGAUCCCUAGCUGGUCUGAGAGGAUGACCAGCCACACUGGAACUGAGACACGGUCCAGACUC
rnacentral:rRNA from 1 species